AGCAGCCGCGGUAAUUCCAGCUCCAAUAGCGUAUAUUAAAGUUGUUGCAGUUAAAAAGCUCGUAGUUGAACUUCAGGCCUGGCUGGGCGGUCCGCCUUCCGGGUGAGUACUGCCUGUGGUCGGGUCCUACCUUCUGGCGAAGCGUCAUGGCCCUAACCGGCCGUGGCGGGGAACCAGGACUUUUACUGUGAAAAAUUAGAGUGUUCAAAGCAGGCACGCGCUUGAAUACAUUAGCAUGGAAUAAUGGAAUAGGACAGUGGUUCUAUUUGUUGGUCUCUAGGACCGUUGUAAUGAUUAAUAGGGAUAGUUGGGGGCAUUAGUAUUCAAUUGUCAGAGGUGAAAUUCUUGGAUUUAUUGAAGACUAACUACUGCGAAAGCAUUUGCCAAGGAUGUUUUCAUUAAUCAAGAACGAAAGUUAGGGGAUCGAAGACGAUCAGAUACCGUCGUAGU
rnacentral:rRNA from 1 species